rnacentral:lncRNA from 1 species
CAUUUCAGGCAGUGACCCAACUAAUAAACUGGUACUCUGUUUACUCUUUGGAUUUACCAUCAAAACCUCUCCACAUUUUUACCUUUUACACUUUACAUCUACCAAAACAAACUCAUAAUUUCUGUAACCUUCUUUUUCAUAACAAAUAUGCUGCAACUAUAUCUUUAUGUCUAUAAAAAAUCUUCAGUGUAAUUUUCAAUGGCAAAUCGCAUUCUAUUAUAUAGAUAUAGAGUGAUUCAUGUAACUGACAUGAUUUUUAAAAUUUAAGUUCUGUUUUUUUUCACUAUUAUAAAAUUAAUAGUCAAAAGGGAAAAAUAUAAAAAUAUGUAAGGAACAAGUUAAAGAAUGGGCAAAAUCUUCAUGUUUUUGCUCUUUAACCCAUAUAAACUAAUGAGAAUG